GAAUUUUGGACAAUGGGCGAAAGCCUGAUCCAGCAAUGCCGCGUGCAGGAUGAAGGCCUUCGGGGUGUAAACUGCUUUUGUACGGAACGAAAAGCGUUGGGUUAAUACCCUGGAGUCAUGGCGGUAUCGGAAGAAUAAGCACCGGCGACCUACGUGCCAGCAGCCGCGGUAAUACGGAGGGUGCAAGAGUUAAUCGGACUUACUGGGCGUACAGCGUGCGCAGGCGGUUUUGUAAGACAGAGGUGAAAUCCCCGGGCUCAACCUGGGAACUGCCUUUGUGACUGCAAGGCUAGAGUACGGCAGAGGGGGGUGGAAUUCCGCGUGUAGCAGUGAAAUGCGUAGAUAUGCGGAGGAACACCGAUGGCGAAGGCAACCCCCUGGGCCUGUACUGACGCUCAUGCACGAAAGCGUGGGGAGCAAACA
rnacentral:rRNA from 1 species